AUCCAGCUGACGAGUCCUAAAUAGGACGAAGCACGAGUCCUGGAU
rfam:Schistosoma mansoni strain Puerto Rico chromosome 1, complete genome